UUCAACGGCCGCGGUAUCCUAACCGUGCAAAGGUAGCAUAAUCACUUGCCCAUUAAUUGUGGGCUGGAAUGAAAGGAUAAACGAAAUAAAUACUGUCUCUAUAAAUCAACUUAAAAAUUACCCUCUAACCGAAGAGUGUUAGAUAUCGUCGAAGGACAAGAAGACCCUAUAGAGCUUAAUUUAAAUAAAUAUNAAAANAAUUUACUAAAANUUCGGUUGGGGCGACCGGGGAAANUUACCCAUCAUCCCUAAACUAAANGAUAAAUUAAUCAAAAUAUUNNGACCCUUGUUANAAGAUCACUAAAACAAGCUACCUUAGGGAUAACAGGCUAAUCUCACUAGAGAGUCCUUAUCAAUAGUGGGGAUUGGCACCUCGAUGUUGGCUUAGGGAAUCUAUGUGACGCAAAAGUCAUAUAAAGAUGGUUUGUUCAA
rnacentral:rRNA from 1 species